UACGUAGGUGGCGAGCGUUGUCCGGAUUUACUGGGUGUAAAGGGCGCGUAGGCGGGUGUCCAAGUUAGGUGUGAAAUACCGAGGCUCAACCUCGGGGCUGUACUUAAAACUGGAUAUCUUGAGUGUCGGAGAGGAAAGUGGAAUUCCUAGUGUAGCGGUGAAAUGCGUAGAUAUUAGGAGGAACACCGGUGGCGAAGGCGACUUUCUGGACGAUAACUGACGCUGAGGCGCGAAAGCGUGGGGAGCAAACAGG
rnacentral:rRNA from 1 species